rnacentral:rRNA from 1 species
AGAGUUUGAUCCUGGCUCAGAUUGAACGCUGGCGGCAGGCCUAACACAUGCAAGUCGAACGGUAACAGGAAGAAGCUUGCUUCUUUGCUGACGAGUGGCGGACGGGUGAGUAAUGUCUGGGAAACUGCCUGAUGGAGGGGGAUAACUACUGGAAACGGUAGCUAAUACCGCAUAACGUCGCAAGACCAAAGAGGGGGACCUUCGGGCCUCUUGCCAUCGGAUGUGCCCAGAUGGGAUUAGCUAGUAGGUGGGGUAACGGCUCACCUAGGCGACGAUCCCUAGCUGGUCUGAGAGGAUGACCAGCCACACUGGAACUGAGACACGGUCCAGACUCCUACGGGAGGCAGCAGUGGGGAAUAUUGCACAAUGGGCGCAAGCCUGAUGCAGCCAUGCCGCGUGUAUGAAGAAGGCCUUCGGGUUGUAAAGUACUUUCAGCGGGGAGGAAGGGAGUAAAGUUAAUACCUUUGCUCAUUGACGUUACCCGCAGAAGAAGCACCGGCUAACUCCGUGCCAGCAGCCGCGGUAAUACGGAGGGUGCAAGCGUUAAUCGGAAUUACUGGGCGUAAAGCGCACGCAGGCGGUUUGUUAAGUCAGAUGUGAAAUCCCCGGGCUCAACCUGGGAACUGCAUCUGAUACUGGCAAGCUUGAGUCUCAUAGAGGGGGGUAGAAUUCCAGGUGUAGCGGUGAAAUGCGUAGAGAUCUGGAGGAAUACCGGUGGCGAAGGCGGCCCCCUGGACGAAGACUGACGCUCAGGUCCGAAAGCGUGGGGAGCAAACAAGGGUAGAUACCCUGGUAGUCCACGCCGUAAAC